ACGCACAGCACCUCACUGAGCU
rnacentral:miRNA from 3 species